UACAGGGGGUGCAAACGUUGCUCGGAAUUAUUGGGCGUAAAGCGCGUGUAGGCGGCUACUUAAGUCGGAUGUGAAAGCCCCUGGCUCAACUGGGGAAGUGCACCCGAAACUGAGUGGCUUGAGUGCGAAAGAGGGUCGCGGAAUUCCCGGUGUAGAGGUGAAAUUCGUAGAUAUCAGGAGGAACACCGGUGGCGAAGGCGGGAUCCUGGGCCAGUACUGACGCUGAGGAGCGAAAGCGUGGGGAGCAAACAGG
rnacentral:rRNA from 1 species